UGGGGAAUAUUGCACAAUGGGGGAAACCCUGAUGCAGCAACGCCGCGUGAGUGAAGAAGUCAUUCGUGAUGUAAAGCUCUAUCAGCAGGGAAGAAAAUGACGGUACCUGACUAAGAAGCCCCGGCUAACUACGUGCCAGCAGCCGCGGUAAUACGUAGGGGGCAAGCGUUAUCCGGAUUUACUGGGUGUAAAGGGAGCGUAGACGGCGACGCAAGUCUGAAGUGAAAUGCCAGUGCUCAACACUGGAACUGCUUUGGAAACUGUGUAGCUAGAGUGCAGGAGAGGUAAGUGGAAUUCCUAGUG
rnacentral:rRNA from 1 species